rnacentral:rRNA from 1 species
AUUGAACGCUGGCGGCAGGCCUAACACAUGCAAGUCGAACGGUAACAGGAAACAGCUUGCUGUUUCGCUGACGAGUGGCGGACGUGUGAGUAAUGUCUGGGAAACUUCCUGAUGGAGGGGGAUAACUACUGGAAACGGUAGCUAAUACCGCAUAACGUCGCAAGACCAAAGAGGGGGACAUUCGGGCCUCUUGCCAUCGGAUGGGCCCAGAUGGGAUUAGCUAGUAGGUGGGGUAACGGCGCACCUAGGCGACGAUCCCUAGCUGGUCUGAGAGGAUGACCAGCCACACUGGAACUGAGACACGGUCCAGACUCCUACGGGAGGCAGCAGUGGGGAAUAUUGCACAAUGGGCGCAAGCCUGAUGCAGCCAUGCCGCGUGUAUGAAGAAGGCCUUCGGGUUGUAAAGUACUUUCAGCGGGGAGGAAGGGAGUAAAGUUAAUACCUUGACUCAUUGACGUUACCAGCAGAAGAAGCACCGGCUAACUCCGUG